UUUCAGUCUGAGUUAAAUCUCUUUUUGCUAAUUGUAUCAGUAAUAGAAAAGGAGCCUCAUAAUUAUGUACACUUGAAUAUAAGGCGUGGUUCAUUUCCAGCCUUUAUGAACAAUUAUAUAUCACUUAUAAAUGAUUAAAUACAAAAUGAAUAGUAGUUAAGAUUUAAUGUGGUUUGGAAUUGGUAAAAUGUUAGUGGAAAAAAAAAAUAUGAUCAGAAAAUCGAAGUGCGUGCAAAAUUAUUAGGCACAAUCUUUAUACUAAUGUGACACUUUUGUGACAAUUAUUUACUCUUUUUGAGUAACCGAAGAUAUUCUAUAUAUUUUUGGGUGCUCAAAGACAAAAUAAUUGCCACAAAAAUCUGUCACAUUAAUUAUAAAGAUUUAAAGAUAUAACCACUAAAAGAUUGUGAAUGUAUAGAUUACAUUUUAGGCUUUUUGUAAUCAGUUUUUGUGGAUUAUUUUUUGUUAUUGUUGUUGUUGCCCUAAGCCCCACUUCAUUUCUGACCCUUUGCCCAUCUCUAAUACACAUUCAGUGACACUCAAUGAUCUUUAAAGGGUUAGUUCUCCCAAAAAUGAAAUGAUUUACUCACCCUCAAGUCAUCCUAGGUGUAUAUGAUAUUCUCCUUCCAGAUGAAUAAAAUUUGAUUUGCAUUCAAAAAAUAUCCUUGCUCUUCCAAGCGUUAUGAUGGCAGUGAAUGGCUGUUUCUGUUUUGAAGUCCAUAAAAGUGCAUCUAUCCAUCAUAAAAGUGCUCCUUCUGAAGUGAAGCAAUGCUUUCGUGUGAGAGAAAUAUCCACAUUUAAAACUUUAUUAACUAAAAUAACUAGCUUCCGACAGAUGGCCAUAUGACAGAAUGUCAUAUACACCUAGGAUGACUUGAGGGUGAGUAAAUCAUGGGCUAAUUUAAAUUUUUGUCUAUCCCUUUAAGUAAUCAUGCAGAAGUAAAUCAUAAUUAAAAUGAUUUAUUUCUCUCUUACAGACAACAGACAUUGUAUCAUAAAGAUACUCUACGGCUCUACAGGGACUCACUCCCCUUGUACCUCAGGGAGCGAGAUGCAAUAUCAAAGACUUGUGUGGACACUGAUUUAGAGGAGACGUACACAAGAGGAGUGAAACUGGGCAUUCUUGAAGUCAUGGAGGACAAUCUCUCGCAGGCAACAAAGAGAUGUCAAAACCUCGCCAUCAUCCUGGAGGAAACUGUGGUUGUGGAGGACGUACCUGACUUUCCCACUGCUUUCAUGG